rnacentral:rRNA from 1 species
GAAUCCUCCGCAAUGGACGAAUGUCUGACGGAGCAACGCCGCGUGAGUGAAGAUGGUUUUCGGCCCGUAAAACUCUGUUGUCGGAGAAGAACAAGUAGGAGAGUAACUGUUCCUACCUUGACGGUACCCUACCAGAAAGACACGGCUAACUAUGUGCCAGCAGCCGCGGUAAUACAUAGGGGGCGAGCGUUAUCCGGAAUUAUUGGGCGUCAAUCGUGCGUAUGCGGUUUAUUAAGUCUGAUGUGAAAUCCUAUAGCUUAACUAUAGGCGGUCAUUGGAUACUGGUAAACUUGAGUACGGUAGAGGUAAGUGGAAUUCCAAGUGGAGCGGUGGAAUGCGUAGAUAUUUGGAGGAACACCAGUGGCGAAGGCGGCUUACUGGGCCGUUACUGACGCUGAUGCACGAAAGCGUGGGGAGCAAACA